UGGGGAAUAUUGCACAAUGGGGGAAACCCUGAUGCAGCGACGCCGCGUGAACGAAGAAGGUAUUCGUAUCGUAAAGUUCUGUCCUAUGGGAAGAUAAUGACAGUACCAUAGAAGAAAGCUCCGGCUAAAUACGUGCCAGCAGCCGCGGUAAUACGUAUGGAGCGAGCGUUGUCCGGCAUUAUUGGGCGUAAAGGGUACGCAGGCGGUUUAAUAAGUCGAAUGUUAAAGAUCGGGGCUCAACCCCGCAAAGCAUUGGAAACUGAUAAACUUGAGUAGUGGAGAGGAAAGUGGAAUUCCUAGUGUAGUGGUGAAAUACGUAGAUAUUAGGAGGAAUACCAGUAGCGAAGGCGACUUUCUGGACACAAACUGACGCUGAGGUACGAAAGCGUGGGGAGCAAACAGG
rnacentral:rRNA from 1 species